rnacentral:rRNA from 1 species
AGCGAACGCUGGCGGCAGGCCUAACACAUGCCAGUCGAACGAACCUUUCGUGAUUAGUUGCUGACGGGUGAGUCACACGUGGGAACGUUCCUUUAUGUUCGGAAUACCUCUGGUAAACUUGUGCUAAUACCGAAUGAGCCCUUCUAAGGCAAGAUUUAUCCCCUUUAGAGCGGCCCGCGUCUGAUUAGCUAUUUGGUUGAGGUAAUGGCUCACCAAGGCUACGUACAUUAGCUGGUCUGGGAGGAUGAUCAGCCACAUUGGUACUGAGACACGGAGGAAAUUAUUGGGGGAGGAAGAAGUGGGGAAUCUUGCGCAAUGGGCGAGAGCAUGAAGCCGUCAGGGCGCGUGAAUGAUGUAGGUGUUAGGAUUGUAAAAUUGUUUAAACGGCGACGAUAAUGACGGUACCCGGAGAAGAAGCCCCGGCUAACUUCGUG